AUGAAAAGCACUUUGAAAAGAGGGUGAAAAGAGCCUGAAACCGUCACGGGGGAAGCGGAUUGCGUUGGACUGGUGGGUGCCUGUGUGUUCAGCCGUUCAGGUGCAUUGGCGCAGGUGCUUAUCCGCCGUGGGUUCCUGGUGGCCGAAGUUGGGUCGCCGGGGGCUGAGGGCUCCCUUUUAGAGGUGAGGACGGCGGAGCGACGACGCGAUACGACCCGUCUUGAAACACGGACCAAGGAGUCUAGCGCGGGUGCGAGUCAGAGGGUGGAAAGCCCGUGGGCGAAGUGAAAGCGAGUGAAAACGAGCAGUUUGGGGCGGCAUGACAUCGCUGAUGUCAAGACCGACCUUGAGCAGUUGCGCUGGGACCCGAAAGAUGGUGAACUAUGCCUGAGUAGGGCAAAGCCAGAGGAAACUCUGGUGGAGGCUCGUAGCGGUGCUGACGUGCAAAUCGCUCGUCCAACUUGGGUAUAGGGGCGAAAGACUAAUCGAACCAUCUAGUAGCUGGUUCCCUCCGAAGUUUCUCUCAGGAUAGCGGGCCGACACUGUGUUGUUUUGUGC
rnacentral:rRNA from 1 species